rnacentral:pre_miRNA from 14 species
GUCUUCAGGUAUCCAAACUAGCUCCUCUGUGGGUGGGGAUUUGUUGCACUACUGUAUGUAUGAAAAGUAUUGCACUUGUCCCGGCCUGUGGGUGAAAGAUGGACUUUCUGCUUUGAGCU